ACCAUUUUUCUGUUUUGUCAAAGCACAGGCGUGGUAAACUGGGAUCAUCCAGUCAUCUAAUGAAAAUACUUGACAGACAGGUCACAUGUAAUUUCAGAUCUCCACAAUGCUAUUAAACCAGUGGACAGAAAUGUUUGUCAAUUUUAUGUGGGAGAAAAAAUUUCUUAACAAGAAGGACAUUAAUAUCUCUUGUUUAUUCUUCAUUCUAUGUUAUUGAUGUUUCUCAUCUAAAUAACUUGUUGCUAUAACGAGAAAAGACACCUUUUGCUAGAAACAGUAUUUUCAGAUCUCUAGCUACAUUUACUAGGAUGUGGCUCUUUGUAGUGAAGUUCAAUCUUAUAAAGUUCAAUACCUUACACGAGUUCAUUAAGAUAAAGAAAAAACAAAGAUAACAACAGCUGCAAAAAUUUGAUGACAAGCUACUUAUCUUAUAAGCCACCCAGCAUGACCUAAUUUUAUUUUAUUGAAACACCACUACUUUUAUUUUUAAUUUUUUUUGUAAGCAACCAGCAUGACCUAUUUUUAUGUUUGUUCACACAAAUACAACAGUUGUGGAGACCAGUAGACAAAUUACUACUGCUACUGCUAUAUCGAGAUAUUACUACACCAGCUGCAGAAACCUAUUAACAAAUUACUACUAUUCCGUUUAAAUACAUCUAGCUCAUCAAUAGGUGCUUUAUGGGAGACUUUCAACCUCAUUAGAUAAUCAUUGUCUACAAAAAAGAGCUACCGAGACAUAAUAGAUAAACAAUGAUAGUUCACUCACAAUGGAUUAGUAUGAAAUUUUCAAAUUGAAAAUGCAGAUCUACUUUAGGAAAGGAAAAUGCCUUCCAGCUGAAUAAGUAGAUUUCUCGUGUAAGUUGUAAGACCAUUGAUUAUGGCAUCUUAACGAACAUUCAGCAAACAAACCCCAAGUGUUAUAAUCAGCCUUUAUAUCCAGAGAGGUGCAAACAAAAGAAUGUACUCACUUCCUUGGAUAACCAAAAACUGUUGGCACAUUAAGUUAACUCUCACUCUGUGGUACAAGAAUGAGAUAUGCUUCAAAAGCAACUGCUGCAAACACCGACCGACUUACAAUAACCUAGUAAAGUCCUAACUUACCGUAUAUUCUGACCACAUUGCUUCCUGUGACCUCUUCUUUGGCAUAUGCUCAGACGCUCCACCUUUGGAAGAAGAUGGCUGCUGCAAAAGAUUUAGUGCUAAUAAACUUGUAUGACCAAUUCAAAAGAAAAAAGAGGAAACGGCAAAGAUGUGCCAUUUCUGGUAAAUGGUCAUCACAUACUUUACUAUUACAGUCAGCUUGUUCGAUAUGGACUUGUUAUCACGAACAGUGCUGGGAAGAAGAAAAGGGAGAAUAGAUACAGAGGAGAGAGUAAAAUAAUAUAGCAAAUUAGAGAGAUGUAAGCAUCUUUCAGCAAUCUUCAUAAGUACUACUAAACAAGAGUAUUCACAUCAAUAAGUACGAAAUUUAACUUAUAUCGAGUACAAAAUAAUUAUUGAAUCAGCUGCAUUUAGAGAUGAUCUUCGAUAAUAUUGGCUAUGCAGAAGAAUAGCACUGUGGUAUCCGUAGUGUACCAUGUAUAAUGUAAUUUACAGAAGCUCACACUUACUCCCUGUACCAUUUCUUCAUAUAGUACGGGAACAGCACAAAAUUUGUAAUCUUUUCCUUAAAUAGGGGAUCUGUGAGGACCUGAGGAGAUAAGUCUUCAUCCCUUCUGUAUCAUAAAGGCAGAAAUUGAGUUUUAAAUUUAGAGUAUUCCAAUGCAAACAACAUGGUGAGACUUCACCAACUCUGCUAAUGACAGCAAGCGUUAAACUUUUUCUCUAUGCGACAAAAUCAGCCAGAGAAUCAUGGUUUUACUUCCAAAGAUGUGUUGCAAUCAAUACAUCAGGAUUCUAUCUUUUCUUUUGGUUUUGUCUCUAUUUUAGGAUUCUUUUCGAUAGGUGGUAUGAAUGCUAUCAUAAGUGGAAAGGAGAGUUUUUAGUAAUCAAGUAGUUUUCACAAUGAACAAACAUGUUAUUUUCUUGCAUCAACCUCACAAUCGGAUCCACAGGUCAAAAUUUGGAUCAGAUUGACAAAUUUAACUAUCUCCUUUUUUCCUUUUUAUUUUUGUUUUGCAAAUCUUGUGUGUCAUCCUGGAAAGAGAAUGGUACUCUGAAUAAGGUCUGCCUUUGUCUAAAAGUUUUGAGAUGAAAUACCUUACGCAUAAAAGAUAAAUAGACAGCUUUUGCACACAAAUUAGUACAAUGUCUGACCUGAAAAGGGCAUGGUACUAGAGUCCCAAAGAGACCUUCGGUCAGAUCUGCAGCUCU
rnacentral:lncRNA from 1 species